rnacentral:rRNA from 1 species
UUUAGUAACCUAUUUACCAUGGCGGCAUUAUUAUCUUAUUAGAGGAACCUGUAUCAUAAUCGAUAAUCCACGAUAAUCUUCACUUUGAUUAAAAAUUUAUAUACCGCCAUCUUAAACUAAUCUAACGAUAAUAUUUUAAAGAAAAAAUAGAAAGUUAGGUCAAGGUGUAAUUUACACUAAAGCGAAAAAUGGGUUACAUUAAAUACCAUUUAAGGAUAUAAUAUAUAAAAACAUAUUUUAAAAGAGGAUUUAAAAGCUACAAUAUAAUAAUAUUUUAUUGUGAUUAAGAUUACAAAUGUGCACACAUCGCCCGGUCGCUC